rnacentral:rRNA from 1 species
UACGUAGGGGGCGAGCGUUAUCCGGAUUCAUUGGGCGUAAAGCGCGCGUAGGCGGCCGGACCAGUCGGGGGUGCAAUCCCGGGGCCCAACCCCGGAACCGCCCCCGAUACUGUCCGGCUCGGGUCCCGCAGGGGACGGCGGAACUCCCGGUGUAGCGGUGGAAUGCGCAGAUAUCGGGAGGAACACCGGCGGCGAAGGCGGCCGUCUGGGCGGCGACCGACGCUGAGGCGCGAGAGCCGGGGGAG